GACGAACGCUGGCGGCGUGCUUAACACAUGCAAGUCGAACGGUGAAGCGCCUUCCUUUUUGGUGGGUGUGGGUGAGUGGCGAACGGGUGAGUAACACGUGAGUAACCUGUCCCCUUCUUCUGGGUAACCGCAUGAAAGUGUGGCUAAUACGGGAUAUUCUGGGUCUGUCGCAUGAUGGGUCCGGGAAAGAUUUUGGUUCGGUGGGGGAUGGGCUCGCGGCCUAUCAGCUUGUUGGGGGGGAGGUGGCCUACCAAGGCGGUGAGGGGUAGCCGGCCUGGGAGGACGGGCGGUCACGCGGGGGCUGAGACACGGCGCAGACUCCUGCGGGCAGCAGCGGUGAGGAAUGUAGCACGAUGGGAGCAAGGCUGAAGCAGCGACGCCGCGUGGGAGAUGGCGGCCGUCGGGUUGUGAGCCUCUUUCGCCAGUGAAGCAGGCCUGCCUCGUUUGUGGGUGGGUUGACGGUAGCUGGAUAAGAAGCACCGGCUAACUACGUG
rnacentral:rRNA from 1 species